CACCAUCACCGAUGGUCACCAAUGCUUCCUAUAGUCUGAAAGGAAGCGCUUUCGAGCGACUAGAAAAACUCCCGUAGCCUGAAAGGGAGAGCAAAAAUUGCGGUACAUCUGCGCACUUUUGGAAGCAGAUAUCGCCGGACACAUAACCCACCGUCCGGCGAUGAAGGUCUUU
rnacentral:sRNA from 1 species